rnacentral:rRNA from 1 species
AUUGAGAGUUUGAUCCUGGCUCAGGAUGAACGCUGGCGGCGUGGAUAAGGCAUGCAAGUCGCGUGGGUUUAGGCCCACGGCAAACGGGUUAGUAAUGCAUAGGAACGUACCCUCAAGUCUCGAAUAAUCCUUCGAAAGGAGGAAUAAUGCGAGAUAGUUCUCUUCGGAGUAAAGAUUUAUCGCUUGAGGAGCGGCCUGUGUCCUAUCAGCUUGUUGGCGGGGUAAUGGCCCACCAAGGCUAUGACGGGUAGGGGAUGUGAGAGCAUGAUCCCCAACAUUGGGACUGAGACACUGCCCAAACACCUACGGGUGGCUGCAGUCGAGAAUCUUCGGCAAUGGGCGAAAGCC